UUGGAGGGCAAGUCUGGUGCCAGCAGCCGCGGUAAUUCCAGCUCCAAUAGCGUAUAUUAAAGUUGCUGCAGUUAAAAAGCUCGUAGUUGAAUUUCGGGACCAUCAUGUCGGUCGUGCCUCGGUACGUACUGGUAUUGUUGGUUUCUCCCUUCUGACGAACCAUGAUGUCAUUUAUUUGGUGUUGUGGGAAAUCAGGACUGUUACUUUGAAAAAAUUAGAGUGUUUAAAGCAGGCUCACGCUUGAAUACAUUAGCAUGGAAUAAUGAAAUAGGACGUUUGAUUCUAUUUUGUUGGUUUCUAGGAUCGACGUAAUGAUUAAUAGGGAUAGUUGGGGGCAUUAGUAUUCAAUUGUCAGAGGUGAAAUUCUUGGAUUUAUUGAAGACUAACUACUGCGAAAGCAUUUGCCAAGGGUGUUUUCAUUAAUCAAGAACGAAAGUUAGGGGAUCGAAGACGAUCAGAUACCGUCGUAGUCUUAACCAUAAACUAUGCCGACUAGGGAUCGGAUGAUGUUAAUUUUUAAAUGACUCAUUCGGCGCCUUACGGGAAACCAAGUGUUUGGGU
rnacentral:rRNA from 1 species